rnacentral:rRNA from 1 species
GACGAACGCUGGCGGCGUGCCUAAUACAUGCAAGUAGAACGCACAGGAUGCACCGUAGUUUACUACACCGUAUUCUGUGAGUUGCGAACGGGUGAGUAACGCGUAGGUAACCUGCCUGGUAGCGGGGGAUAACUAUUGGAAACGAUAGCUAAUACCGCAUAAGAACAUUUACUGCAUGGUAGAUGUUUAAAAGGUGCAAAUGCAUCACUACCAGAUGGACCUGCGUUGUAUUAGCUAGUAGGUGAGGUAACGGCUCACCUAGGCGACGAUACAUAGCCGACCUGAGAGGGUGAUCGGCCACACUGGGACUGAGACACGGCCCAGAUUCUACGGGAGGCAGCAGUAGGGAAUCUUCGGCAAUGGGGGGAACCCUGACCGAGCAACGCCGCGUGAGUGAAGAAGGUUUUCGGAUCGUAAAGCUCUGUUGUUAAGGAAGAACGAGUGUGAGAAUGGAAAGUUCAUACUGG